GCGGGUAUAGCUCAGUGGAAAAGUGAGUAGUAACAUGUCUAGCACGCACGAGGUCCUGGGUUCGAUCCCCAGUACCUCCA
rnacentral:tRNA from 1 species